UUCCGGUGAGAAUUCUAAUUCUCAUUUUAUCUCAUUUACAAAUCUGAUGAUCUGAUUUUAAAAUCAAUUCUCACCUAAAUCUCACUUAAACUGUACAAUAUCAAAAAUACCCCUAUCUAAAUUAUAAUAUUCCAUAAUCCCUUCACUUUCUUAAACCCUAUUUUGCUAUAGUCACCGUUACCCUAGAAAAUCAAGAAUCGUUGAACAGCCUCAGCCCAGUGCACGCGGCCGGAUCGGAAAGCUCCGAACCUCCGCCGGUGAGUCCGACGGACCACCACGCAAGCGGUGGUCCUAUCCUUUCACGAUCGUCCACCGCCGCAGCCGCACGAUCAUCGGAGUCCAACAUUCUUUCUCCCUCUUGGUGUCGCUACAGAGCCAACACAACUAAAAUGACAGAUACUAGUGACUCCGGUUUUAAUCUGAAAAGAAGUACUGUUGUAUCUCAGCAGACGCAGAAGGAAAGUGCUGAAAACUAAUGUUCCUAUUUUUAUAUUAUACUUAGUAUGAUGAAAUCUCUACUAUUUAGACUUUUAUGUUAUGUUUAGUGUGAUGAAAACUCAAUUUUUAUGAGGGUUAUGUGUGGUUGAUUUAUUGAUAUGGAUUAUGGGCCCGUUUGGGAAA